rnacentral:rRNA from 1 species
UUGGAGGGCAAGUCUGGUGCCAGCAGCCGCGGUAAUUCCAGCUCCAAUAGCGUAUAUUAAAAUUGUUGCAGUUAAAAAGCUCGUAGUUGAAUUUCUGCUGCAUUGCAUUUUCUCCUAUACGAGUUUUUGCAUUGUGGCUUAUUUCGGUUAUAAAAUUAAUUUUAUUUCCGGAUGUUUACUUUGAGAAAAUUAGAGUGCUCAAAGCAGGCUUUUGCCUUGAAUAGUUUAGCAUGGAAUAAUAAAGUAGGACUUUGGUUCUAUUUUGUUGGUUUUAGGUACCAAAGUAAUGGUUAAUAGGAACAGUUGGGGGCAUUCGUAUUUAACUGUCAGAGGUGAAAUUCUUAGAUUUGUUAAAGACGAACUACUGCGAAAGCAUUUGCCAAGGAUGUUUUCAUUAAUCAAGAACGAAAGUUAGGGGAUCGAAGACGAUCAGAUACCGU